AUACGUAGGGUGCGAGCGUUGUCCGGAAUUACUGGGCGUAAAGAGCUCGUAGGUGGUUUGUCGCGUCGUCUGUGAAAUUCCGGGGCUUGACUCCGGGCGUGCAGGCGAUACGGGCAUAACUUGAGUACUGUAGGGGAGACUGGAAUUCCUGGUGUCGCGGUGAAAUGCGCAGAUAUCAGGAGGAACACCGGUGGCGAAGGCGGGUCUCUGGGCAGUAACUGACGCUGAGGAGCGAAAGCAUGGGUAGCGAACAGGAUUAGAUACCCUGGUAGUCCACGCCGUAAACGGUGGGCGCUAGGUGUAGGGGUCUUCCACGACUUCUGUGCCGUAGCUAACGCAUUAAGCGCCCCGCCUGGGGAGUACGGCCGCAAGGCUAAAACUUAAAGGAAUUGACGGGG
rnacentral:rRNA from 1 species